rnacentral:rRNA from 1 species
AUUGAACGCUGGCGGCAGGCCUAACACAUGCAAGUCGAGCGAGCGGCGGACGGGUGAGUAAUGUAUGGGGACUGCCCGAUAGAGGGGGAUAACUCCUGGACACGGUAGCUAAUACCGCAUACUAUCGGAUAACCCAUAUGGGAUUAGCUAGUAGGUGGGGUAAUGGCUCACCUAGGCGACGAUCCCUAGCUGGUCUGAGAGGAUGAUCAGCCAAACUGGGACUGAGAAACGGCCCAGAGUCGUACGGAGGCAGCAGUGGGGAAUAUUGCACAAUGGGCGCAAGCCUGAUGCAGACAGGCCGCGUGUAUGAAGAAGGCCCUAGGGUGGUAAAGUACUUUCAGUCGGGAGGCGUUACCGACAGAAGAAGCACCGGCUAACUCCGUGCCAGCAGCCGCGGUAAUUC